rnacentral:rRNA from 1 species
UACGUAGGUGGCAAGCGUUGUCCGGAAUUAUUGGGCGUAAAGCGCGCGCAGGCGGUCCUUUAAGUCUGAUGUGAAAGCCCACGGCUCAACCGUGGAGGGUCAUUGGAAACUGGGGGACUUGAGUGCAGAAGAGGAGAGUGGAAUUCCACGUGUAGCGGUGAAAUGCGUAGAUAUCUGGAGGAACACCGGUGGCGAAGGCGGUUCGCUGGGCAGUACCUGACGCUGAGGAGCGAAAGUGUGGGGAGCGAACAGG